GAUGAACGCUGGCGGCGUGCUUAACACAUGCAAGUCGAACGAAGCACCUUGAUUUGAUUCUUCGGAUGAAGAUCUUGGUGACUGAGUGGCGGACGGGUGAGUAACGCGUGGGUAACCUGCCUCAUACAGGGGGAUAACAGUUAGAAAUGACUGCUAAUACCGCAUAAGACCACAGCACCGCAUGGUGCAGGGGUAAAAACUCCGGUGGUAUGAGAUGGACCCGCGUCUGAUUAGGUAGUUGGUGGGGUAACGGCCUACCAAGCCGACGAUCAGUAGCCGACCUGAGAGGGUGACCGGCCACAUUGGGACUGAGACACGGCCCAAACUCCUACGGGAGGCAGCAGUGGGGAAUAUUGCACAAUGGGGGAAACCCUGAUGCAGCGACGCCGCGUGAGCGAUGAAGUAUUUCGGUAUGUAAAGCUCUAUCAGCAGGGAAGAAAAUGACGGU
rnacentral:rRNA from 1 species